GUAGGUGGCAAGCGUUGUCCGGAAUUAUUGGGCGUAAAGCGCGCGCAGGCGGUUCUUUAAGUCUGAUGUGAAAGCCCACGGCUCAACCGUGGGGGGUCAUUGGAAACUGGAGAACUUGAGUACAGAAGAGGAAAGCGGAAUUCCACGUGUAGCGGUGAAAUGCGUAGAGAUGUGGAGGAACACCAGUGGCGAAGGCGGCUUUCUGGUCUGUAACUGACGCUGAGGCGCGAAAGCGUGGGGAGCAAACAGGAUUAGAUACCCUGGUAGUCCACGCCGUAAACGAUGAGUGCUAAGUGUUAGGGGGUUUCCGCCCCCCUUAGUGCUGCAGCUAACGCAUUAAGCACUCCGCCUGGGAGUACGGCCGCAAGGCUG
rnacentral:rRNA from 1 species